CUCUUUCUGACUAGAGAAGAGCUAGGAAAUUUGAGCUUUAUCUGAUUUUUUUCUAAUAGUCCCAGGAUUUAAGUGAAGGCUACUGUGCAAGCUCUAUGAGAACAAGGCUGUGCUGUCAAGAAUUCAUUACUGACCUAGACUUGAUCACUGACCUUGAGUUGCUUAAUGAACUUGAGUUGAUUAAUGCCUUUGAGUUGACCGCUGGACUAGAGUCCACUGCUGACCUAGAGUCGACCACCCAAGAGUCCCCUACCCACCUGGAGUUGUCCACCACCACAGAGUCCACCAUGACUCCGGGGUCCCCCACCAACCUCGAGCCCACUGCCACCCUGGAGUCUACCGCCGACCAGGAGUCCACAGCAACCCCAGAGUCCCCCACUGACCUGGUGUCUACUGCCACCCCAGAGUCCACUGCCACUCCAGAAUCCCCCACCAACCUGGAGUCCACCACCACUCUAGAGUCUACCGCUGACCAGGAGUCCACAAUGACCCCAGAGUCCCCCACUGACUUGGAGUCCACUGCCACCCCGGAGUCCUCCACCAACCUGCAGUCCACCGCCACCCCAGAGUCCAUCACCGACCUGGAGUCCACUACCACCACUCCAGAGACCCCGGCCAACCUGGAGUCCACCGCUAUCCCAGAGUCCGCCACUGACCUGGAGUCAACCACUAACCUAGUCUCCAUUAGUGAUGUAGAAUCUACCACAGAUGUGCAUUUUGAGAAUGCACAAACUUUCGAAUUAUCUACUGAGGUGGAAUCAAACAUUCAUAGCUUUGAGGAAGCAACCACUAAAGCCACUGAAAGUGUCACUGCUGCUCAUUCAGAAGAGCCCAUCACUAGAGGACCAGAAGAGCCUGGAACUUCUGUGGGAAGCAACGAGUCCAUCUCAGUACUUUUUUAAAAUGAAGAAGACUUGCCAUUAGUUAUGAACAUCACUCUCAUCACUCUACUAACCACAACUCUCUAAAAAUAUUCUGAACUUCUGAACAAGGCUUCCAUUCCAUUAUAGGAGACCAAAUAACUGCAAAGGUCUAGUAAGAUGUAAAAUGUACCAGCUGAGGAUAAACAGAGUGGUGAGAGUUAUAUCCACACAGAGGAGGGGUAUCUCUUAACCAUGUCCCAUUACAUAGGGGCUCAAUAAAUUUUUUUUGGAAUUGAAUUUUGAGAGAGGU
rnacentral:lncRNA from 12 species